rnacentral:rRNA from 1 species
UACGUAGGCAGCGAGCGUUUGUUCGGAGUUACUGGGCGUAAAGCGUGCGUAGGCGGUGUCUUAAGUUUGUUGUGAAAUCUCCCGGCUUAACCGGGAGGGUGCGGCGAAUACUGGAGAUGCUGGAGUGCCGGAGAGGAAGCGGAAUUCCUGGUGUAGCGGUGAAAAUGCGUAGAUAUCAGGAGGAACACCAUGGCGAAGGCAGCUCGCUGGGGACGACUGACGCUGAAGACGCGAAAAGCGUGGGGGGAGCAAAACAGGG